UCUCUCAUUGAAGUAGGAGCACAUCUUGCUACAUCUGAGUCACUGAUGCUCCCAAACCUUGAAUGUGUCCUUCCUUGUUUGCUGUUUAAUCUAGUCCACCUCUCCGUGGGUGCACAAACCUAUUUAUACAUGUGGACCAGCCGCAGUUGGAAGUAUUUUAGUUCAGUGCCUAUAGAUUUCCCUCUGUCUCCACUUCGUCAUGGCUGCCGUGAAUUUAACGAAACAGCGGUCACUGUUCUGUUCUUUGACUCUGCGCUGAGAUAGAGCAGAGAGCUCAUUCUGCCUCUGAGCCUCUCUUCCACCAAUCUUUUCGACCGCCUGUCCAAUAAAACAUCAAUAUUUACUGUGCUCACAUCUGGCUGGAAGCGUUCUGGUAAAUAUUGAAGGACUCACAGGAGCUUUGCCUGGCCUUGUCUUUCACGUGUCUCACUGACUCUUUGAAGUGGAGGAGAGAUUUCUGAGAGAUUUCAGAAGGGGCUGAUGCAUCCUGAAUGAUGGAUACGACUGCAGCAAUCCUUCUCCCUCCAUCCUCCACUCUGCACCAGCACUCAAAAAGAAUACCACAUUGCAACAAUCUAUAUUUCAUAAAAUCGACGUCAUUGCGAGAAUGCCGCUAACGUACCUGGGGAUGCAACACCAUCCAAGGUCCACCAAGGUCAAAGCAAUGAAGGAAAACCUCCAUCUGACCCUGUGUGACUCACAGAUUUUUAAUUAUUUCCUUACCCUUUUAGUUGUGAUUGCCUUUCAAUAUCUUCAGCCCUGCAUCCAAACCUGUCGCCAUUUCAUAACAAAACAAAAACAAAAAGUUCUCACGUUUAAUCUGAAUAAAUCAUGACCAUUUUAUCAUAAGCUAAAUUUCACUACUCAGGCAAAAGGACGACAUUAGGCAGAGAAAUUUUCAUUGUGUGUUAUAACAUGUCUAAAAAAAUACUGUAUUUGAUCAAAUUCUGGUUAUCAUCACCAUUAGCAUUAUUGGUAAAUUGUUAGAUUUGACAUUUCAUUGUUAGACAUUGAAUAUUUAAUCUUUUGAGGUGAAAAGGUGGGCGGGGCUUCCAGGCGGUGUCAGUUAAUAUCGGAGAGUGCGCAAAUCAUUCCAUAUCGACUGAAUUGAAAAAGAACAAACUUUAAAAAUGUCUGCAAAAUGUUGAGUUCAAAUCGAUAUAUUUUUUUUGCUUGAGAAUAGAGAAGCUAAGUAAGAUGAGCGGUACUUAUCCUGGUGCUUCUACGUGCGUGUUAGCAGUAAUUAAUCUGGAUCUAUAAUGUCUAUAAGUCUAUAAUGAUUGACUAAUAUUGUCACAAAUUCCUGACAUGAUGAGCAAAUGUCGUGUUUUUUUAUGCCACAUGAUUGUGUCUGAAUGUGUAUUUUGUGUAUGUGUUUCUUGAUUGUGUCCGUGUGUUCUGCGUUUAGUUCUUGAUUAGUUUGUCUACUUUUACCCUCCUGUGUCUUCUUCUCUCAUUGCGACAUCUUCGAAUGCAUUUCGUAUUGUUAAAUCAGACCCUUGGUUCCCAGGUUCCGAGUUUUCUUUGGUUUGUGAUUACGGAUAUUCCACGUUUUCUGUGUUUUUUUUUCCUGAGCCCUGUCUGGAAUGACACACUGAGUAUACACACUGAGUAUACACACUUGCGUCCUGCCUCUUAUGAAUAUAUUUAACAGUCUGGGAAAAAAGUAUUGUAAUAGAGAUGAUGUUUCUAGUCUGUUCAUUAAAAAAAAAAUCAGUGGUUCUGGAAUUUAUUCGU